UACGUAGGGGGCGAGCGUUGUCCGGAUUUAUUGGGCGUAAAGAGCGUGUAGGCGGCCAGGUAGGUCUGCUGUGAAAACUCGAGGCUCAACCUCGAGACGUCGGCGGAAACCAUCUGGCUAGAGUCCGGAAGAGUAGAGUGGAAUUCCUGGUGUAGCGGUGAAAUGCGCAGAUAUCAGGAAGAACACCCGUGGCGAAGGCGGCUCUCUGGGACGGUACUGACGCUGAGACGCGAAAGCGUGGGGAGCGAACAGG
rnacentral:rRNA from 1 species